CUUUGAGUGUUGCUUGUUCCAUUAA
rnacentral:piRNA from 1 species